rnacentral:rRNA from 1 species
AGAUUGAACGCUGGCGGCAUGCCUUACACAUGCAAGUCGAACGGCAGCACGGGAGCAAUCCUGGUGGCGAGUGGCGAACGGGUGAGUAAUAUAUCGGAACGUGCCCAGUAAUGGGGGAUAGCCCGGCGAAAGCCGGAUUAAUACCGCAUACGACCUACGGGUGAAAGCGGGGGAUCGCAAGACCUCGCGUUAUUGGAGCGGCCGAUAUCAGAUUAGCUUGUGGCGGGUAAAAGCCCACCAAGGCGACGAUCUGUAGCUGGUCUGAGAGGACGACCAGCCACACUGGGACUGAGACACGGCCCAGACUCCGUACGGGAGGCAGCAGUGGGGAAUUUUGGGACAAGUGGGCGCAAGCCGUAGAUCCAGCCAUGCCGCGUGUGGGAAGAAGGCCUUCGGGUUUAAGUACGUCUUUCGUUCGUAGAAGGAACGGUACGUU